UCGAAUUGGAAAGCUUGCAAAAUAUGUUCCAUGCUUGCAAACUUUCCUUUUUCAAAUUCUAUCCUACAAUCAAUUAUUGCAUUUCUUGUAUUUUUUAAAAGAUGUGGUACGUCGAAUAUUGUUACCACUAAUUCUCCAUCAACUAUAAAUUGAUAUGGACUUGGGUUUUUGUCUGGAUACUCUCUAGUGAGAGCAGCAAUAGCCGCCCUAUUAGAGCUACCCUGGUCACAAACUGUGGCACAAACCUUCAUCCCUACCAAUCGUAGCUCUCUGAUAACUUGAAUAAUCAUUUCUUUCAAAUUAUCAGUUUUUAUGGAGUCUUUAGUGAAAAAAUAUGCGACAGGCAUCUUGUAACAUUUACUGAUGCUCCGUAUCAUGAAAAUGAGAGCAUGAUUUGCAGGGUUGGAUGUUCUACCCUUUGUGCCCAAAUCCUCGAAGCCAGAUAUUCUUUGCUUGUGGCUUUCAUAGUAGAGACCACUACUCAAAGACAUCUCAUCAAAAAUUAAGGCACAAUAACGAUCAAUCUCGUCCAUGUUUUCAACGUGAAUUUUCAAGUGUUCCAAAACAGGUUUAAGAAGUCCACAUUCGAAAGGUAUUGAAGCCAAAAUUAAUUGAAGUGAUCUAGGUGAUGGUAACUGAAAAAUAUUUCGAAGAUAGUUAUAAAGUUUUGGACUCCUUUUAAACAAAGAUAACGCAAAAGCUUUAUCUUCUGUAGACCACCGGCGAGCUGUUGGAGGCUUGUUGGCAUUUCUUAAUUGUGAAUUUAUGAACUGCGUGGUGACUUUAUUCAAAUUGUCUUCAAUAAAUUGAAAUUUACCAACUUUGUACAAUUCUUUCAGUGUUGGAAACUGAAUACGCUCAUUAUUUAAUAAAUUUUUGAGUUUCGAUAAUCUGGAAGACACAGUUCUAUGAAUUUUGUACAUGGACUCCUGCUCAAAGGAUAAAUCUGAUUUAUGAAGCCCAACUUUCCGUAAAAAUCCUGUUUGUCUGUCUGUCUAAAAUGAGUACAUAUCUAAUGAAUUUUUUUGAGCUGUUUCAGAACUAGAAAAUUCACUUGUACAUGAUACGGGGCUACUUACUGGAGUUGAUGGAUUAGAUAUUGAGGGAAUAGGAUUGAGAGGAUCAGAUGUUGAGGGAAUAGGAGUGCGAGGAUUAUAUGCUGAGGGAAUACGAGUGGGAGGAUUAGAUGGUGAGGGCAUAGAAGAGCAAGAAUUAGAUGUUGAGGUCAUAAGAGUGCUUGGAGUGAUUAGUACAUCACUAAUAAUAUUGAUGCUGGCUUUGGAGGAUAACCUAUCAUUUUCAGACUUACGUGUGUAAUUAUGUUCAUUAAGAACAUGAUAUUUUGGUGGAAAUCUUGGAACAGCAUCAACACGAAGACGGGAAACAAUGUUAGGGUUAGGGCAAUUAAAAUCAGAUGGUAAAAAAUGAUCCUCACAUAUUCGAAAAUAUGAACAUUUCACGCUCGGUUCUAUUCCGCAAACUUUUUGCCAUGACAAUAACCUUGAUGGAUUGGUAGGAAAACAGAAAAAGCGCUUGUUUUGCUGAUGGUUUAGGGUUUUAGACCUAUAAGAAUUUUUACAAGAUGGAAAUUUACAAUAGAAUACAUUUUUAUAAAGGGAAAGUUUCACUGGUUUUGGUGGUAUUUUCAGGAAUGGGUAAUUGGGAUGAGAUAUCCUUAACAAGAAAAACAAUAAUUGCGAAGAACGAUGAGAAACUAUAGUGAAUUACCUAGUAAAUUAUUUUCAUUAUACACUGCAACAAAACAUUUUAACCGCUAAAACCGCGAAGGCGCCAAACUGCAACUGUCGAAUGUCAAUUUGGAUUUUGGAACAUUAUCCUUCUUGUCAUGAGCGACAGAGAUAACCAUACAUCUUCUAUCUCUUUCAUUCUCUGUUAGGUAGGCGCAUAGAAUAUUUGUUUCCAAUUUAGUACUACGAGUUUCACCCCCCUGCUUCGGCCGAAGCGAAGCCGAAUAAUUGAAAAGUAGACCGAAGCGGCCGGAUACCGAAGCCGAAUCGAUGCUUCGGCGCAUCCCUAAUUGAAAGGUAAUAGCACAGACUAACCAGACAAUUCUCUCUGCCGUUUUUAGGCACGGCGUUUCGUUGACCUUGAGUUUCACUAUGAACUACUGUAGUAAAAAAUGACAAAGAUAACCGAACUUCCCACUCUUUCUAAAAGGUUCAAAACGCAAGUGAUUUGUCAGAUUAACCAAUUCAAAUUUUUGAAUUCACCCGACUGCUUGUAUUCAACUCCUAUUCUCUUUGAAUAUUGAAUACCAAGCAAAAUUUAUCGAAGUAUUCAAAAUUCCUGUUUUUUCAAAAACAUUAAAUAUAUUUCUUUGAAUUAAAACAACAAAGGAACUAAAUAUUUUAUUAUUUAUAAUAUAUUUGGAAUUAGUAAAAUAUGUAUGUAUGAAGUGAACAGAAGAUAAAAUGGGAACCGAAGGAAAACGAGUUGCACAUAUAGAAACUCAAACAACUAAAGAAUUAUCUCACCAAACACCAAGAAAAAGAAAGUUGAGGCAUCUAAUUGAGUCAAAGGAAAAUGAAAUUGAAAGAAUGAUAUUAAAGACAUUCAACUUCAAACAGUCUAUUCAGGAAAUAGACCCCUGCAAGACACAACUAUCUAAAGACAAAUUCGAAAAGGCUUGUGAUAUUCAUCUGCCAAAUAUUAUAGUUUUGGAAAUAUAGCCAAAAUAAUCAGUGAUCUCAAUGAUAAAAAUCUAAACGGAAGAAGAUAUACCAAGGAAUUUAAACAGCAUGCCCUUUCACUAUAUUAUUCCGGGCCUAAAAUUUAUAAAAGAAUGGUUGCCAUAUAUAAUUUUCCAUCAGUAUCUACAUUGAGAAGAAUGACAGAGAAUAUUGAGAAAAGAACUGGUUUAAAUGAUUUUAUAUUCAGAAGUCUCAAAUGGCGACUAGAAGGUAAAAGCAAAGAAGACAGGAUGUGUGCUUUGUCAAUGGAUGAAGUAUCGAUCAAAGCAAAUUUGCAAUAUGAUAAGAAAAAUGAUGAAAUUGUGGGUUUCCAUGAUAUUGGCAAAGAAAAAAAUAUAUCCCAGCAAAAAAUGCUUUAGUAUUGAUGGUAAGAGGAAUAAACAAUAAUUGGAAGCAGCCAUUAGGAUAUAAUUUUUUGAAUACAUCCUGUAGUCCAACAGACCUGAGUGGAAUUAUU